rnacentral:lncRNA from 1 species
GUUGUUUGAAAUAUUACUGAUUCUUUUUGUUUUGUUUUUCAGAGUCUUGGGGAUCUUUUUCUUUUGAUCUAUUUAUUGCCUUGAAAUAUAGUUAACAAUAUGAAAAUAUUACUCAGCAAAAAAGACUCUUCUAAAGGGGAAAAGUGUAAGACUGUUUUUUUUUUUUUUGAAACAAAAUGAAAUCUAUUUUUCCAUAUUCUAAUAAGAGGAUUCUGGCCAUUGGUUUUUCUAUUUUUCAAGACUGUUUUCAAGUGGAGGCAAUAUUUUGUUUUUGUUCAUUACUUUGUUUUUAGUUUAUCAUGAUAUGUUUACUGUAUGAGUAAAAUUCAUAUGUGUGUAUUUCCAAAUACAGUUCAAACCAUAAUCUUUCAUAACUUUAUGUAGACCAGGCAUGGUGGCUCACACCUGUAAUCCCAGCAUUCUGGGAGGCUGAGACGGGAAAAUUGCUUGAGCCCAGGAGUUUGAGACCAGCCUGGGCAACAUAGUGAAACCCCUUCUCUACUAAAAAGACAAAAAAUUAGCCAGUCAUGGUACUGUGCACCUGUUAUCCCAGGUACUUCGUCCCUGAGCCUGGGAGGUCAAGGUUGCAGUGAGUGAAGAUCAUGCCACUGCAAUCCAGCCUGGGCAACCAGAGUGAGACUGUCUUAAAAAAAAUCUUUACAUAAAAC